GACGAACCGUGCGAACGUUGUUCGGAUUCACUGGGCUUAAAGGGCGCGUAGGCGGCCGCUCAAGUCGGGGGUGAAAUCUUUCAGCUUAACUGGAAAAUAGCCUCCGGUACUGGGCAGCUCGAGGGAGAUAGGGGUGCGCGGAACUUCCGGUGGAGCGGUGAAAUGCGCAGAUAUCAGGAGGAACACCAAUGGCGAAGGCAGCUCGCUGGGACGUGACUGACGCUGAGACGCGAAAGCGUGGGGAGCAAACAGG
rnacentral:rRNA from 1 species